UGGGGAAUAUUGCGCAAUGGCCGCAAGGCUGACGCAGCGACGCCGCGUGUGGGAUGAAGGCCUUCGGGUUGUAAACCACUGUCGGGGGGGACGAAUACCCGGCCUCGAAUAGGGGACCGGGGGGGACGGUACCCCCAAAGGAAGCACCGGCUAACUCCGUGCCAGCAGCCGCGGUAAUACGGAGGGUGCGAGCGUUGUCCGGAAUCACUGGGCGUAAAGGGUGCGUAGGCGGCUACUUAAGUCGCGUGUGAAAUCCCGGGGCUCAACUCCGGGGCUGCACGCGAUACUGGGUGGCUCGAGCUCGGUAGGGGCGAGUGGAAUUCCCGGUGUAGCGGUGGAAUGCGUAGAUAUCGGGAAGAACACCGGUGGCGAAGGCGGCUCGCUGGGCCGAUGCUGACGCGGAGGCACGAAAGCGUGGGGAGCAAACAGG
rnacentral:rRNA from 1 species